CCCCUCUCAGGGUCGCACCUGGUGAGUUUCCAGUCCUCUACCAGUCUCGGCUAAGGGAGGGAGAGUCGAGCAGAGGCCUACCGAUUCCACUCCUAGCUUGGGCAGUGGCUAGUGAGUGGAAGGCAAUCUGCUAAAAGU
rnacentral:snoRNA from 1 species